AGCCUUUUGUUUUUUAAUAAAAGGUGAUUUUUGCUCAAUGAUAUUUUAAAUAGCCGCGGUAAUUUGACCGUGCAAAGGUAGCAUAAUCAUUUGCCUCGUAAUUGGGGGCUGGCAUGAAUGGGAUAACAAGGCUCUCGCUUUAUUAGAUAAAAAUUUAAAAUUUGCUUUUUUAGUGAAGAAGCUAAAAUUUUUAUAUAGGACAAGAAGACCCUUUUGAGUUUUAUUAAUUCAUUUUUUUUUAAAAUCGUUUUAAUUUGGUUGGGGCGACCAAGGAAGAAAAGAUCUUCCUUUCUAACUUAGAUCCAAAGGUAUUGAUUGAUGGAAUAAGCUACCAAAGGGAUAACAGCGUAAUUUUUUUUGUGAGUUCUUAUUAAAAAAAAAGAUUGCGACCUCGAUGUUGACUUAUAGUUUCCUUUUGGUGCAGAAGCUAAUAAGGUAGGUCUGUUCGACCUUUAAAACUUU
rnacentral:rRNA from 1 species